AUGGGCGGCGACCAUGGCGGCCACGGCCCUAGCGGCGGCGACUUCCGGCAGAAGGUGUGGAGCAUGACCGGCGGGCCCUACUGCCGGCCCGUCCACUGGCGCCGCAACACCGCCAUCGCCAUGGUCGGCAUCUUCCUUGUCUGCAUCCCCAUCGCCAUGAAAUCCGCCGAGCUCGAGCAACGCCCGCAUCACCCAGUCCGGCCAAUCCCAUCCCAGCUUUGGUGCAAGAACUUUGGCAAGAAGGAGUACUGA
rnacentral:rRNA from 1 species